GUUAAGCAGUUAAAGAACCUUGGCCCAUAUUCAGUUUAACAGCUGUAGCUGCAAUAUUUCAGUCUAGGAUUGCAGCUCUUGUGUCUGUUGACUAUCACAUGAAGAUGUCACUGCUCAUCUGCGCUGUUGCCGCUAAUCGUUUCUGUGUCUCUCUCUGUUCAGACGCUCUUUGCUGUAAUUGCUGUUAAACUUGAGAAAGAGCUGAGCUCUCAGAUGCAGAGGUGAGGAAGGGGUUACACUUGCUGUAAGACGAUACACUUCCCUCAUUUAGCAACUUUGACCUUUCACUCAAUUACUAUUUCUUAUAAAUCCCACAUUUCUCAGUCUCUGGUUAUGCAGACCUAGAUUUCGGUUUUACAGACGCCGUCUGUUUGCAACUCUAGGACAGCGGUAUGAGAUUUUCAAUACUAAAGACCGCUCCUCUCUCCUCCCCUCUCGGUUUUUUCUCCUCCUCUCCCUCCCCUAUGCUCAGUUCGGUGUGUGUCUCCUCAUUCAAAGGGCGCAAGGGUGGGAACAAGUCGUCCAACAAAGCAUGUUACAGCGCCGACAUGACUUGCCCGUCGGAAAGCGAGAAAAUCGUCAUCAACUGCGGCGGCGUGAGGCACGAGACGUACCGGAGCACCCUGAAGACGCUGCCCGGGACGCGUCUGUCGUGGCUCACUGAGCCGGACGCCUUCAGCAACUUCGACUACGACCCGAAGUCCGACGAGUUCUUCUUCGACCGGCACCCGUCCGUCUUCUCGUUCAUCCUCAACUACUACCGGACGGGCAAGUUGCACUGCCCCAACGACGUGUGCGGCCCGCUGUUCGAAGAGGAGCUCGCCUUCUGGGGCAUCGACGAGACCGACGUGGAGGCGUGUUGCUGGAUGAACUACCGGCAGCACCGGGACGCGGAGGAGGCGCUGGACAGCUUCGAGACGCCCGAGCCGGAGGUGCCGGACGACGACCCGGCGCUCGCAGGGGACGGAGACCUGAAGCGGCUUUGCCUGCAAGAGGACAACAGGAAAGUGGGCUGGUGGCGCGUUUGGCAACCCCGGAUCUGGGCGCUCUUCGAGGACCCCUAUUCGUCCAAAUACGCGCGGUAUGUGGCGUUCGGAUCCCUUCUGUUCAUCCUCAUCUCCAUUUCCACCUUCUGCAUGGAGACGCACGAAGCGUUCAACACCAUCUACAACAAAACAGAGAACAUUACGGAGGGGAACGUGACGAGAGAGGAGAUCGUGUAUGAGGUUGUGACGGACAGCUGGCUGACGUACGUGGAGGGAGUGUGCGUAAUCUGGUUCACCAUCGAGGUGUUCACGCGCAUCGUCUUCUGUCCCAACAAGGUGGAGUUCUUCAAGAACGCGCUGAACAUCAUCGACUUCGUGGCGAUCCUGCCUUUCUACCUGGAGGUCAGUCUGAGCGGACUCUCCUCCAAAGCAGCAAAAGACGUGUUGGGCUUCCUGCGAGUGGUGCGGUUCGUCCGAAUCUUGCGUAUCUUCAAGCUGACGCGCCACUUCGUGGGCUUGCGCGUUCUUGGGCACACACUUCGCGCAAGUACCAACGAGUUCCUCCUGCUCAUCAUUUUCCUCGCCCUCGGCGUCCUCAUCUUCGCCACCAUGAUUUACUACGCCGAGAGGAUAGGAGCCAGUCCGGACGACCCUACGGCGAGCGCGCACACCACCUUCAAGAACAUCCCCAUUGGUUUCUGGUGGGCCGUGGUGACCAUGACCACCUUAGGCUAUGGAGAUAUGUAUCCGGAGACAUGGUCGGGCAUGCUGGUGGGGGCGCUGUGUGCCCUCGCGGGUGUGCUGACUAUUGCCAUGCCUGUGCCCGUCAUUGUUAACAACUUCGGCAUGUAUUACUCUCUGGCCAUGGCCAAGCAAAAGCUGCCUAAAAAGAAGAACAAACACAUCCCACGAGCCCCACAACCCGGCUCACCCAAUUACUGCAAGCCGGAUGCCCUUGCCAUGGCGACGGCCUCGCCCCAGAGAAUCCUGGGUAACGUGCUGGGCGGCGUGCUGGGCUCAAGCGGGCUGACAGGGGACUGUCCUCUUGCUCAGGAGGAGAUCAUAGAGAUUAACAGAGACUCGAAGCAGAACGGUGACGCAGCCAGCGCCGCUCUAGCAAACGAGGACUGUCCAACAAUCGAUCAGGUUCUUAGUCCAGACGAGCGCAGCCCAGUGGGCCGAACACAAGAACGGUACCAGCAGGACAGAGCCUGCUUCCUCCUCAACACGCGAGAGUUUCGACCCACUGAUGGGAAUGUGCGGAAAGACAGACACUGGGAUAUUUGGACAGACUCACAGACAGACUGACAUUGAGAAGGCCGUCAGUGCAGCGCCAGAGUUUCUAAUGCGUGACUGUGGUGUUAAGUUUCUAGCAUUUGGCAAUUCUUUUAAGGAGACAUGGUUAGUCGCUGAAUCCUGAAAAUUUUGCCGAUGGGGCCGUACCAUCCACACGGGACAAGUGAGGAAUGUCGGAGUGGCAAGAGGGUGUGACUGGAAAAAACACGAAAAAAAAAGAAAAACAAGGAAACUGGAAUUUUUCCGAGGCCAGAUCUUCACACGGUAACCAAAGCAACCUCACCGAAAUUCCGGAUCACUCCUCUUUCUACAGACUGACUGACUUUACAGCAACAAAAACCGAACAUUGCACUGACACCUGAAAGAGAAAAAAGUCUCUUGAAGGAACGAACGGAAAACAUUCCAAUGUUUUAAGAUCAAAACACCAGGCGUUUUGACUGCCGCACUCACCUGGGCUCUGAGUUUCUGUAUAUUAAUCUAUAUGUAAGAAUGAAGGACUAAGUUAGAAUAAUUAUGUAGCAUUUCUGCUAAGACCCUGUAGCAUUUCUUGGCUGGGAGAACUCUCCGACAGACUUUUUACAGACUGAUAUUUCAUUGACCGUUUGCACAGAAUGACUAAAAAUAGCUUAGUCAUGCACAAUUUUUCUUGUUUUCUUCCCCCACUCAGCAUAUUAGCAGCGAAAUGUGUUGUCUGUGCAUUGCCGUGUGGUAGUUCCCACUCCCCGUCCGAGUCUUAGAGUAGCUUUUCUUUGUGAAUGAAUCUAGAGCACUGAAAAGUGAAAACGCAGCACUCUGCUUUGGUAAGAGACGUACGUUGCUAUUCCCAAACAGUCUUCCAGUUUUUUUCCCGAGCGCUCGGGGGAGGCAACAUCGAAAACAGUCCCGACAGACCAAAGCCCAACUGUGACCAAAUAAUGUACGAAAGCUAAAAUGGCACAAAAUAAGACGUUCCCUGUCAGAUCUGAACUUUUCGUCCCUUUAAAUAUGAACGGAUUGGCUGCUCUGCCAGGGGUGCUGUUUGUAAUUCCCAAAAAUGCCCUUAAAUUGGGACUUUUUUCUCGUUCCUGAUUAUAGAGAUUUAUUUUGUGAUUUCUUUAGUAGAGCUGAUGCUGCCAGUGAUUAUAUACAUGCACAUGCGAGUGCUUGGACCAAUAACAAGCGGAAGUUUGUUUUUUCUUCGUGGAAAGAGGGUAUAAAGGUCAGGGAAAUCUCUUAAAAUCUCCCUUCCUAAAAUCGUCUAUGUCUAAAACUGCCUUUUCAGAGUUCCCUACGUCUCUGUCUUGUAUUCUCUCCUAUUGGCUUGACAGCGUCGUUCCUUCUCAACUAAUCAGAGGGAGCGCGGAAGGUCACGCCAAACGAAUCAAGAAGAAUAAAUGUACAAAAAAAGAACAAAUUUAUAUUUUGAUAAGUAGUUGCAAAAACAUCUCCAUGGUUCACGAGGAACGCGACUGUAAAAAUGCAACGCCGACCACCCUACGAACAGCCGCCGACUUAUACAAAAAAAAGGGCGAAAGAAAAAAUAUUAACGCGCUCUUUUGAGGGGGAGGGCGCUAAAACAGAAGAGGUCGUUUCCUCGGACUGAACUGUGAGAAAAUGGAUGUCAAAAUAUAUGAGAAAAAAAAAACUAAUGAAAAAAAAAAUACUACUUGGAAAGAAAAAAAAUAAAAAAUGCAUUUUUGUAACUUUGUUUACCAGCAUGAGAACUUUGCAUGACUGUAUUUUCUGCUAGCCCUUAGUUGAAGUGGGGAGGGCUAGAAUAAUAAUUAAAAAAAAAAGAUAUUAAUAAUAAAGAUGUUAAUAAAAAUAAAUAAAUAAAUAAAUAAAAAAACAUGAUAUGCAAUGGAUAUUUAGAAAAAAUAAUAUAUUUAAAAGAGCUAUAUUUUGUUUUGAAAUAGGAAAAAAAGAAAUGUGAAUAAAUUCUGACUGCGAGUUACACACUGAACAGUUUUAUUAGUUUAAGGUUUAAAAAACAAAAAAUGCCACCAAAAGCGAUUCUGCUACAUACUGCCCCAUGUUACAUUCUCGUUCGGUUUCAUUUCUUCCAUCGAAACGCCGCCUGGACUGUAUAUUUUGGUUGCGUGACACUCUCUAAUGUUUGUCUGCGCACAGCAUUAGUUCCCUCUGUAGCCACGAUAACAACUGUGCUGAUGCUAGAAUCCUCCGUAUAAGCGGGAUAUGGCGUCUUUUCCCACGUGCGUUGGGGCUGAUAGUGUUUCAUUCUCGCUUUGAGUUCACCUGCUCUCAUUGGCAAUAAUACGAACGAUAAUCCAGAGAUCUGCUCGAUUGAGAUUGUAGCAAGGCAAAGUGGAGACUCGUAUCAGUCUCAGCGUCUUCCUUACGAACGGAUGCAGUGUGGAAAACUGUGUUUUUGUAGAGAUGCCAUGUGUCUCUAAUCUCAGGUGAAAAAUGUGAAUGCUCAGUUCCGCACCGGACCUCUGCCUGCCCGUGCAGCUAUUUCUCAUUUUCAUCUCGUCUGAUUAUUUUCAAGAUCCGAUGAAAGGCAUUUUGCUGUAUUUCCUGUUUAAACAGGAAGUUAGGACACAGGCCUCAUCCCUGGCCAAUAGUCUUUAACCGUUAGCUUAGCAAAAUCAAAGCUGAUAGCUUAUACAAUGGGCGAAUGCAAUGAAAACACUUGAUUUUAAAUGUUAUAUAUGUCAUUCUGUAAUAUCAGCUACAGAAUUAAAAUUUCUAACGUUAAUCGUGCUAAUUUUAUGUCUUAAAAUCACCAUAGUUUCAUCUUUCUGUUUAUCAUAUAAGUUGUUCUGUGUCUCAAGACACCUUUAGCGUCUUUAAACCUUAAGCAGUUAGCUUCAGGCUGGUACAAAACAUCACAGAUGAGUUAAAAGUUAAUCUGUUAUUCUGUCAUAUAAGAUGCAGAAUUUAAAUGGAUAACUCUAAUCAUGCUAAUUUGGUGUCCUGAAAUCUUAAGUUUUAGCCAACUUGUUCAUAGAACUUUUUUUUAUUUUAGGACACCUAGCUAAACCUUUACCAAUUAGCUAAUGCGAAGCAUCACAGUUGAGUUAAAUGUGUUAUUCUAAUGCUACAGAAUUAAAAUAGCUAACUUGGAUCAUGUUCAUUUGGUGUCCUGAAAUGUUUUACACAACAUAUUUUAUCAAAAAACAAAGUUGUCUUUAGUUCUCAGGACACUAGGUUAGAGUUAAACCCUUAGCAUUUAGCUUAAUGCUAAUAUGAUAAUCACAGUUCAGUUAAAUGUGUUUAUCUGUUAUGCUGUAAUACUGGCUACAGAAUCAAAAUCAUGUUAAUUUGGUGUCCUGAAAAGUUCAGUUUUACAAAACUUGUUUAUCAUAUGUUGUUUUUGUGUCUCAAGACACCAGGCCAAAAGGCCAGUUAGUUUCAGGCUAAUGCAAAAUAUCACAGCUGAGCUAAAUCUGUUAUUCUGUAAUAGGUUACAGAGUUAAAAUGGCUAACUUUAACCAUGUUAAUCUGGUGUCCUAUAUUCUUAAGUUUUACACAAUUUGUUAUAGAAGUUGUUGGCUGAAGUUCAACUUUUAGCAGUUAGCAUUAGGCUAAUGCAAAACGUUGCAACUGAGUUAAAUGUGUUAUUCUAAUGCUACAGAAUUAAAAUCAUGUUCAUUUGGUGUCCUGAAAUGUUUUACACAACAUACUUUAUCCUAGAAGUGUUUUUGCUUCUCAGGACACCAGGUUAAAGCUAAACCUUUAGCAUUUAGCUGUUAAUACAGAAGUUACAGUAGAGUUAAAUGUGUUUAACUGUUAUUUUACAGAAUUAAAAUCAUGCUAAUCUGGUGUCCUAAAAAGUUCAGAUUUACACAACUUGUUUAUCAUAGAAGUUGUUUUUGUAUCUUAGGACACCAAGCUAAAUCUAAGCGAUUAGCUUCCCAGAUAGCACACAUACGUCUGCAAGAUGUCAGUUAAAGAUCACUUGAUCUGCCCUGGUGAAAAAACCAGCAUAUGCUGGUUAUGUAGGUUUUGAUGCUGGUUUAAGCUGGUCCUUUGCUGGUUUAUGCUGGUCCUUAGCUGGUUUAAGCUGGUCCUUUGCUGGUUUUUUCUGGUUAUGUUGCUGGUCAAGGACCAGCAUGAACCAGCAAAGGACCAGCUUAAACCAGCAUCAAAACCUACAUAACCAGCAUCCCAGCAUCAAAACAUACCUACCAGCAUAUGCUGGUUUUUUCACCAGGGUGGAAACCAUCUGCUGUGUACAAACAUCUGACAGAUGUCUGUAAGAUGUCAGUUUUACAUACAUCUUAUAGACAUCUAAUAGACAUCUAUUUGACAUCUGACAAAAUACGUCCUGUAGACUUAUUGCAGAUGAGCAAACAAUCUAAAAAAUACAUCUUGCAGAUGUAAAUGCAGACAUCAGAUAGACGUCUCUGAGAUGUACAUGUGCUAUCAGGGUUUAGACUAAUGUAAAAAAAAAAUCACAGUUGAAUUUUUGUGUAAUGCAGGCUAAAAAUUGCUAACCAUGGUCCUGAAAUCUUCAGUUUUACCUAGUUUGUAUAUCAUAGAACCUUUUUUUGUAUCUCAGGACACUAGGCUGAAGCUAAACCUUUAGCAAUUAGCAACCCUGGUGAAAAAAACAGCAUAUGCUGGUAGGUAUGUUUUGAUGCUGGAAUGCAGGUUAGGUAGGUUUUGAUGGUGGUUUAUGCUGGUCCUUAGCUGGUUUAAGCUGGUCCUUUGCUGGUUUUUGCUGGUCAUGUUGCUGGUCGAGGACCAGCACGAACCAGCAAAGGACCAGCAUAAACCAGCAUCAAAACAUACCUAACCAGCAUAUGCUGUUUUUUUCACCAGGGAAAACAUCACAGUUGAGUUAAAUGUGUUAUUCUAAUGUUACAGAAUUAAAAUAGCUAACUCAUGUUCAUUUAGUGUUCUGAAAUGUUCAGUUUCACACACGUUUAUCCUAAAAGUUUUUGGUUUUCAGGACACCAGGCUAAACCUUUAACAUUCAGCUUUAUGCUAAUACAAAAAUCACAGUAGAGUGUUUAUCUCUUAGCCUAAUAUUGACUACAGAAUUAAAAUCAUACAAAUUUGGUGUCCUGAAAAGUUCAGUUUUACACAACAUGUUCAUCACAGAAGUUUCUCAGGACACGACGUUGAAGUUAAAUCUAAGCGAUUAGCUUAAGCUAAUGCGAAACAUCUCAGCUAAGUUAUUGUGUAAUACAGGCUACAAAAUGGCUAACCAUGCUAAUGGUGUCCUAAAUAUUCAGUUUUACACAGAAGAUGUUGUUUUUGCUUCUCAUGACACCAGUUUAAAGCUUUAGCGUUUAUAGUUUAAGUCUAAUGUAAAACAUUGCCGUAAGGUUAAGUGUGUUUAUCUGUUUAUCAUAAAUAUUAUUUUUGGUCCUAAGGACUUGAGGCUUAGCUUUUGCCUCAGAUGGGGCUCAGUAGCAUAGCAUGGUAGCACUGCAGCUAAUCUGUUAGCGUUUAACACAAGGGCAUACAAACUUCAUAUCAUUCAAGAUUAGCGAGAGUCCUAUGCAAGACGCGUUAGCUAUAGGCUUACGUUACAUGACAGGCGAAUCACAUGAAUCAUGUAUUUUCAGUAUUUAAUCAAUUUAAGUCAUGUGUACUUUUUUAAUGACAGGGCAGAUAGAAGAUAAAAUAUGGACGCAGCCAGUUGGCCUUGAAAAAGGAGCUUGACUGUCUUGUCACUGAUAUUGCAGAUGAAAAGCAUCCGCUAAUUAGCAAGUCAACAGAAAUGACGGAAAGGACAGAACGAAGUGAAUAUGAGAAACGGCGGCGGUUCGAGCAGGCCGCGGUCCGGUGUCUGGUGUGAGGGACGGUUUGUGAUAUUUUCGGGUGUGCUGAUAUCAUCGGCUUCUGAUAUAUGGUGGAAGUGGACAUGCGACCUUUAGGGGAAAGACAAUAUGACACAGCGUAUAUUUUCGAAACCUUACCAAGCGAAAACGAGAUGUCUCGACCGGUGCUGGGUCACUGGGUCCGUUCCCAGCCCAGAAUAAAACCUUACUCUUAUAGCCCAAAUAGGUCUUUGUGUUUUUUCAAAGUUGUGCAUAUUUCUAGUUUUAUAACUGCUUUUGUUUAUAAUUAUCGAUUUAUUGAAUCAUUUAUAUUUUAUACAGAGUUGAUUUUUUGUUCCAUUUCGUUCCAUUUCGAAGAUUGUUCAUAUUUUUUACGACCGUGAUCACUUUGUUGUCGUUCGCUACGAAGAUAAAAAAGAGCCUGUGCUUGGUUUUAUUUUAGAAGGCAUUAAGACCACUCUGGUCCAGGGGUCACAAAGUAACGCUGAAUAAAUAUUUUAAAGCGACAGCAUGCUUCAAGCAGGACGCAUAUCCACACAGUCUAAUUUAGUUUUAUUCUCAAACAUGUUGGUUUUGUUUUCAGGACAAGCUGAGCUUGUCUUCUCCGUCUUUUCACGCACAUUGACGCGCACUGCCCUCUUAAGAUGAUUUGGAAUGGUAGCUCUGUCUGCAUCUAAUUCUUCUUGUUCGAUUUACUGUGCCUGCUCUUGUAUCCAAUGUCAGUUCGAUCACCCGUUUCUUGUGUAUUAAGUUUGAUUUGAUGUACUUGAAUUACAGAUAUGCAAUCACCACCUCUCUGACCACUGCCAAUCAUCCCGAUCAAUCAACAUGAUCAGUAAUCAAUAUGAUUAAAGUGAUUAACAACC